CCCGCAGAGGCGGGGCUUCGGAUUGACGGCCGGCGCCCGCCCGUCCCUUCCUUGCGACCACGCUGGCCCCGCCUCCUGGCUGCGGGAGGGUGAACUCUCUGAGAGCAGGGGCCAUUUAACUCCAAGCCCUCAACAAGACCUACCAAAAGACUGGUACAAGGCAGACUUCAGCAAGUGUUAAAUGGGGUGCGGUGUUGCUGUUUCACCCAAGCUAGAGUGCAG